AGAAGACUAAUAUAUUUGGAGCUGCUUAGUUGUGUGAGUGAAAAAACAAGAUAGAAUAACAAAUGAACAUGUUUGUCAAAAGGUUGUAGGGGCACGAAUUGAGGAUAUGAUGAUGGAAAUUGUUCUAGAUAUUAGGUUAGACCCAAGAAUGUUGUUCCGGUCUAGUAGACAUCAUUUGAGCUGAGUGAUGCAGCAAGGCAUUACACUUUUUUCAAUUAA
rnacentral:misc_RNA from 1 species